GACGAACGCUGGCGGCGUGCUUAACACAUGCAAGUCGAACGGAAAGGCCCUGCUUUUGUGGGGUGCUCGAGUGGCGAACGGGUGAGUAACACGUGAGUAACCUCCCCUUGACUUUGGGAUAACUUCAGGAAACUGGGGCUAAUACCGGAUAGGAGCUCCUGCUGCAUGGUGGGGGUUGGAAAGUUUCGGCGGUUGGGGAUGGACUCGCGGCUUAUCAGCUUGUUGGUGGGGUAGUGGCUUACCAAGGCUUUGACGGGUAGCCGGCCUGAGAGGGUGACCGGCCACAUUGGGACUGAGAUACGGCCCAGACUCCUACGGGAGGCAGCAGUGGGGAAUAUUGCACAAUGGGCGGAAGCCUGAUGCAGCAACGCCGCGUGCGUGAUGACGGCCUUCGGGUUGUAAACCGCUUUCGCCUGUGACGAAGCGGGAGUGACGGUAAUGGGUAAAGAAGCACCGGCUAACUACGUG
rnacentral:rRNA from 1 species